AGUUGCCAUCGGGUAAUGCCGGGCACUCUGGAAGGACUGCCAUCGACAAGAUGGAGAAGUGGGGAUGACGUCAAGUCAUCAUGGCCCUUAUGUCCAGGGCGACACACGUGCUACAAUGGCCGGCACAACGGGAAGCGAGUUCGCGAGGACAAGCGGAUCCCUUAAAGCCGGUCGCAGUUCGGAUUGAAGUCUGCAACUCGACUUCAUGAAGCUGGAAUCGCUAGUAAUCGUGGAUCAGCCAAGCCGCGGUGAAUACGUUCCCGGGCCUU
rnacentral:rRNA from 1 species